rnacentral:tRNA from 1 species
GGUUGUGGCUCAGCGGUAGAGCACUCGCCUAGCACGUGCAAGGCCCUGUGUUCGAUCCUUAGCACCA